GCCCGGGUGGUGUAGCGGUAACAUAGGGGACUGUGGAUCCCCUGUCUCGGGUUCAAACUGCAACCUGUGGA
rnacentral:tRNA from 1 species